rnacentral:rRNA from 1 species
AUAACCACCCUGAAUUCACCAAUCUUGUCUGGUUCUGGAAGCUAAGCAGGACUGGGUCUGUUUGGUGCUUGGGUGGGAGACUAUCAGGGAAUUCCAGAGAUC